CCGGCGACCGGCGCACGGGUGAGUAACACGUAUGGAACCUGCUCGCAGCAGGGGGAUAAGCGGAAGAAAUUCCGUCUAAUACCGCGUAACAACGUUGGGAGGCAUCUCCCGAUGUUUAAAGAUUUAUCGGCUGCGGAUGGCCAUGCGGCGCAUUAGCUAGUCGGCGGGGUAACGGCCCACCGAGGCGACGAUGCGUAGGGGUUCUGAGAGGAAGGUCCCCCACACUGGUACUGAGACACGGACCAGACUCCUACGGGAGGCAGCAG
rnacentral:rRNA from 1 species